rnacentral:rRNA from 1 species
AGCAGUCGCCGCGAUAAUACGUAGGUGGCAAGCGUUGUCCGGAAUUAUUGGGCGUAAAGGGCUCGCAGGCGGUUUCUUAAGUCUGAUGUGAAAGCCCCCGGCUCAACCGGGGAGGGUCAUUGGAAACUGGGAAACUUGAGUGCAGAAGAGGAGAGUGGAAUUCCACGUGUAGCGGUGAAAUGCGUAGAGAUGUGGAGGAACACCAGUGGCGAAGGCGACUCUCUGGUCUGUAACUGACGCUGAGGAGCGAAAGCGUGGGAAGCAAACAGGAUUAGAUACCCGCGUAGUCCCUGUCUCUUAUAC